rnacentral:rRNA from 1 species
UGAGCAAUCUGCCCUUCUCUUCGGAAUAAGCGUUGGAAACGACGUCUAAUGCCGAAUACGACCUCCUUUCGCAUGAUCGGAGGUGGAAAGCUCCGGCGGAGAAGGAUGAGCUCGCGGCCUAUCAGCUAAUUGGUGUGGGUAAUGGCCCACCAAGGCGACGACGGGUAGUCGGCCUGAGAGGGUGACCGGCCACACUGGGACUGAGACACGGCCCAGACUCCGUACGGGAGGNAGCG